rnacentral:tRNA from 1 species
GCCCCCGUAGCUCAAAUGGACAGAGCGGUCGGCCUCUACCCGACAGGUUCCAGAUUCGAAUUCUGGCAGGGGCA